AUUGUUUAACACGUGUAUUCAUAUUUUAUAUCUUUUACUUAGAGGUCGCCCGGAACCUCACAACUCGAUUAAGACGCCCGUAUUUUGAAACACACUUAUACCUCGGUUCUUGUUAAUAAUAAUAAUAAUAAUAAUAGCAAAAAAUUAGUCUACUAACGGGCGACUCUCACCGAUGUAAAACGCCUGCAUCCACGAUGAAGAUGUCGUUUCCUGUAUACGCUAGUCGCUGCGUCUUUAUGCCCAAUUUGACUUUCGUUCAACUUUCCACGCCGCCUAUCGGAGUAUGUUAAUCAUUGGCAGUCGUACAGCUGGUUCUGGAAAUUUUCUUCUCCGAAACGGUAUAUGUCACGCAUUGGUAAUUGUUUUAGAUUUCGAAUUUUACCACCGCCAAACCGUGACAUUAGUUAAAUUUACGAACGAAGAAGCGUCUAUAAAUAAAACAAAUCUCCAGUUUCGCUAUUCCACGGGUGAACUGGGCAAAUGUAGAAGCUAAAGAAUGAUGCGGCCAUCUCCACCAGUGUCACGGGGACAAGGCGAUUUGUCGAACGAGUGGACCUCCAGCCUUCGGUCAAAUACAGUUGUCUGCCGCCCGACAUCAUUCUUUAGCUUCUCCAGCGGAGAGUUCUGGGAGCAUUUUCUGAACCGGCUCCGUAUCGAACUGGCAGUAAUUGGCCGAUAGCUAAACGACAUUGUUUAAUGGUGGCGUGGUAGGCUUUUGGUUGGAACAUCG
rnacentral:lncRNA from 1 species